rnacentral:lncRNA from 1 species
UCAGUUCUUUCCAUUGUUUGGAAAAAGCGAGUCUAUGUUUCUGAUGUCCCAAUUAAUUCAUUUUGAUCACAGGUCCCAUUUAUACCAGAGUAGCAAAAUGUGUUAUAAAGUGAGAAUGUGAUAAAAUUUUGGAGAUUUGAUUUGGAUUAUAAUGGUAUUAUUGAGUAAAACACGGAUGGCAGGGUAGAAGAAGUGGGCCCCAGAGAGAGAGAACACGAGUGACUCAAGACUCACAGAACUUGUCAGUUGGAAAAGCUCUUUCUGAUUUUAUUAUAUUGGCCCACUCCAAAGUUUUUGCAAUGAGAAAUGAUAUAAAUAUAUGUCACAGAGGCCCUUUAGGAUCGAAAUCGUUUCCUCUUUCAUAAAUGUGUUCUUCACAGAUCAGUAGAAACAUGCUUUGAUUCAUAUUAGAAUUUGUGGUUCAACUGCAUUUUAAUUAUCUAAUUUGGAAUUCAAUUCUAUCUUGCAUUGUAUCAGUUAAUUUUCCACCAGAAAGUUACUUUGAACUCCUCAAAGAUAAUAUUAACUAAGAAUAGGAUAUUUUCACAGGUACCAAUAAGUACUAAUAAGUAACUCCAAUCAUGAUGGUUUUCAUUUUCUUCAGUGAUGCUUGAUGUCAGCAUUUCUUCAAUGAUCUAAAACCAGAAGUUCCACUCAGUGAUGCAGAAGACAGAAGAGAAUUUUUUUCACAUCAUAUCUAGAUUGAAAUAUUCUUGAAAUAAAUGACUG